CUGGAUUCGCUAGUAAUCGCGCAUCAGCCAUGGCGCGGUGAAUACGUUCCCGGGCCUUGUACACACCGCCCGUCAAGCCAUGGGAGCCGGGAGUGCCUGAAGUGCGUGACCGCAAGGAGCGCCCUAAGGCAAGACCGGUGACUGGGGCUAAGUCGUAACAAGGUACC
rnacentral:rRNA from 1 species